rnacentral:rRNA from 1 species
CAUGCAAGUCGAGCGGCAGCGCGAGUAGUUUACUACUUGGCGGCGAGCGGCGGACGGCUGAGUAACGCGUGGGAACGUGCCCCAAAGUGAGGAAUAACUGCCCGAAAGGGUAGCUAAUGCCGCAUAUGAUCUUCGGAUUAAAGUAUUUAUUACGCUUUGGGAGCGGCCCGCGUCCGAUUAGAUAGUUGGUGAGGUAAAGGCUCACCAAGUCUACGAUCGGUAACUGGUCUGAGAGGAUGAUCAGUCAGACUGGAACUGAGACACGGUCCAGACUCCUACGGGAGGCAGCAGUGAGGAAUCUUCCACAAUGGACGAAAGUCUGAUGGAGCAACUCCGCGUGCAGGAUGAAGGCCUUCGGGUCGUAAACUGCUUUUAUGAGUGAAGAAUAUGACGGUAACUCAUGAAUAAGGGUCGGCUAACUACGUGCCAGCAGCCGCGGUCAUACGUAGGACCCAAGCGUUAUCCGGAGUGACUGGGCGUAAAGAGUUGCGUAGGUGGUUAGUAAAGUGAAUAGUGAAACCUGGUGGCUCAACCAUACAGACUAUUAUUCAAACUCACUAACUCGAGAGUGGUAGAGGUAACUGGAAUUUCUAGUGUAGGAGUGAAAUCCGUAGAUAUUAGAAGGAACACCAAUGGCGUANGCAGGUUACUGGACCAUUUCUGACACUGA